rnacentral:rRNA from 1 species
CCGCGUGAGUGAUGAAGGCCCUAGGGUUGUAAAACUCUUUCACCCGUGACGAUGAUGACGGUAGCGGGAGAAGAAGCACCGGCUAACUCCGUGC